AACACUGGGGCAUGGCCACUAGGUAACUCGAGGGGAUGGAAGACCACGAGUGUCGAUGAAGCCCCCUCGCACUAGGCCCCGGUGUCCUUGGGCCCCCCCCCCCCCCUGCCUGGAGGCACUCGCAGCAGCUCUGCGUGCUAGGCCCAAGUGUCCUUGGCCCCCCCGCCUGGAGGCACACACAGCAGUUAUGCUGAGAAUCUGCAACAGUAUGUUGCAGAGUCAGACUGCCUGAAACUAAGCAAGGCCAAACAGGGGAGAUAUGGAAGAACAAUGCUGAAUAAAGCAGCUUUAUGUAGAGUUUAACAAAUGAUACAGAGAAUCAGGGAACUAGCUGGGAACUGGAUUGGCUGGCUAUAUGGAUACUUGGAGCAGCUUGCUAUUGGAUAAGUAUGCUGGGAAAAAGGAUGUAUAAAAGCCUGUGUAACUUCCUGCUCUGUUGUACAGGAUUUGAGAUUCAAAUCUCCCUGUACCUUUUUGAAGCUUCAAAUAAACUUUUCUGCUUCUCCACCCCGUUGUGAUUAUUGGGUGUAGCACACCGGGUAACGAACCAACUCAAGCUGUUGUUCAGCCUCUCGGCACUGGGUGCCGGCAACAGCUUUUGGCGUCCCUGGGUGGGCUCGAGGCUGCAAUUUAGCCUUGCCUGGACCCCUCCUGGAGGUCAAGGAUUGCGGCGAGAACCGACGCCCAGCGCGCACCGGUGAGUUCAUCGGGGGCCUCGGAGGAGACGCGAUUUGAUCGACCCCAGAGGGCACAACGGUGCAACGCACUCAUAUAGUGGAGAAGCUGUUGUGGAUGGCGGUGAAGAACCGGUCCCUUAGACAUGGGGGAGGAGCAGCUGCAGGCCACGGUGAAGAACCGGUCCCUUGGAUAAGGUAUACCAAGGAUUCCCAGCCUGUCCCCUUGGACUCUCCCGUUCACUCCUUACAGCCCGGUGACUCUGUGCUUGUUCGCACCUGGAAAGACGAGCCUCUCCAGGAAAAGUGGAAAGGACCCUAUACCGUCCUGCUGAUCUCCCAUACAGCGGCAAAGAUCAAGGGACACAAGAACUGGAUCCAUCACUCUCGUCUGAAGGCAGUAACCGCCCCCUCGUCAGCAGGACAGUGGACCGUCCAACCUGCUGACUCCUCAUCUAGUGAGAUCUCGGGCUAAAGCUACUGUUUAAAAGACACAAAUAGCGGGCACCUUAAUGCUAAAAUGGGCCCACCCAGGUACUGGAGACCCUGGGUUGGGAAGACUCUGGUCAUAAUUAAUUGGGUAACAUUGUUAUUCUCUGUAUUGGUAUUUCCAAACUGUGCAUAUCGGGAGCAUAACUCCUUUGUUUUGCUUGCGCACCAUGUUGCUAAUUUAACAAACCAGACUGAUUGCUGGGUAUGUGCUCCAACUCCACUAUCCCCCAAAACGGGAAUGCCCCUUGACAUGCUGCCCUUGACCCUAGCAGAAUUAGCCACCACCGAAGAGCAGGAAAGAACGGACUCACCGUUCUGGAAUAAGACCUCUUUACAGCAGGCCACCUAUCAGGACCAGGAGUAUUCAGUUGCAGUACUCACUAAGGGAGUGUUAUGUUUUACCCGAAACCAAUCUGAUCACUAUGGGCAUCCUGUGGGAAAGAGCUCCUUUGUUAUUACACAGUGGGCUGAUGGGUAUUGGAUAAAGACCAACAGGGGAGGCCAACAGUGUGGGUGUAAUGGUUCCUCCCCUUUUAGGGAAACACUUACAAAUAAUCUUACCACAAAAAAGGGGUUUGGAAAUGUAACUUGCCGUCAAGUUAACAUCUCCAAUGUAGCAAGCCCAAGUGAGAAAACUCAGAGCCAAGGCUGUUGAGUGUUCUCAAAGGGGGGAGUUGUUGGGGACACUGGGGCAUGGCCACUAGGUAACUCGAGGGGAUGGAAGACCACGAGUGUCGAUGAAGCCCCCUUGCACUAGGCCCCGGUGUCCUUGGCCCCCCCUCCUGCCUGGAGGCACUCGCAGCAGCUCUGCGUACUAGGCCCAAGUGUCCUUGGCCCCCCCGCCUGGAGGCAUACACAGCAGUUAUGCUGAGAAUCUGCAACAGUAUGUUGCAGAGUCAGACUGCCUGAAACUAAGCAAGGCCAAACAGGGGAGAUAUGGAAGAACAAUGCUGAAUAAAGCAGCUUUAUGUAGAGUUUAACAAAUGAUACAGAGAAUCAGGGAACUAGCUGGGAACUGGAUUGGCUGGCUAUAUGAAUACUUGGGGCAGCUUGCUAUUGGAUAAGUAUGCUGGGAAAAAGGAUGUAUAAAAGCCUGUGUAACUUCCUGCUCUGUGUGCAGGAUUUGAGAUUUUAUUCUCCCUGUACCUUUUUGCAGCUGCAAAUAAACUUUUCUGCUUCUCCA